CCCCUAGAUGUUCUGGGCCGCACGCGCGCUACACUGAACAGUUCAACAAGUCUUAACCUUGGCCGAUAGGUCUGGGUAAUCUUUGAACGCUGUUCGCGAUUGGGAUAGACCUUUGCAAUUAUGGGUCUUCAACGAGGAAUUCCUAGUAAACGCAAGUCAUCAGCUUGCAUUGAUUACGUCCCUGCCCUUUGUACACACCGCCCGUCGCACCUACCGAUUGAAUGGUCCGGUGAAAUCUCGGGACGGCGGCUUGGUCGCUUGCGUCCGACUGCUGAAACUUGAUUAAACCAUAUCAUUUAGAGGAAGGUGAAGUCGUAACA
rnacentral:rRNA from 1 species